UUUAUUUAAAAUGAUAUCAUGAAACCAUUACAUGUUAACACAACUUUUUUUUUUUUUGAGAAGGUGAAGGUGUCUUGCUCUGUUGCCCAGGCUGGAGUGCAGUGGUGCGAUCUUGGCUCACUGCAACCUGCCCCUCCCAGGUGCAAGCAAUUCUUCUGCUUCAGCCUCUCAAGUAGCUGGGAUUAUAGGCGCAUGCCACCAAGCCCAGUUAUUUUUUUUUUUUUUUUUUGAGACGGAGUCUUGCUGUCGCCCAGGCUGGAGUGCAGUGGCGCGAUCUCUGCUCACUGCAGGCUCUGCCCGCUGGGUUCACGCCAUUCUCCUGCCUCAGCCUCCUGAGCAGCUGGGACUACAGGCGCCCGCCACCUCGCCCAGCUAAUUUUUUGUAUUUUUAGUAGAGAUGGGGUUUCACCAUGUUAGCCAGGAUGGUCUCGAUCUCCUGACCUCAUGAUCCGCCCGCCUUGGCCUCCCAAAGUGCUGGGAUUACAGGCGUGAGCCACCGCGCUCAGCCAGCCCAGCUAAUUUUUAUAUUGUUAGUAGAGAUGGGGUUUCAUUAUGUUGGUCAGGCUGGUCUCGAACUCCUGAUCUCAAGUGAUCCUCCCACCUCAGUCUCCCAGCGUUGAGAUUACAGGCAUGAGCCACUGUGCCCAGCCAACACAACAUACUUUUAAUGAAAAAUAACUACAUUUUUCCAAACCAAAAAGAAAGUGAAAACAGUGGUAUUGUUUUGUAUUUUUUGCAAAUCUCUUCAAUGUCUGGUUUAAUAUUCUGGUUUAAUUCCCAUAUCUGCUUCUAUACUCAACCUGUUUCAACAUCACAUGUCACAAACAGCCAGGCGCAGUGGCUCACACCUAUAAUCCCAGCACUUUGGGAGGUGAAGGCGGGAGGAUCACUUGAGGCCAGGAGUUGGAAGACCAGUCUGGGCAACAUAGCAAGACCCCUCUGUCAGUAUAAAAAACAAAAUAAAAAAACACAUGUCAUGUAGCCUCUGGAAAAUCCCACUGUACACUCAUGAAAGACAAAUAAUAUCUUUUUUUUUUUUUUUGAGACAGUGUCUUGCUCCAUCACCCAGGCUGGAGUGCAGUGGUGAGAUUUCAGCUCACUGCAAUCUCUGCCUCCCGGAUUCAAGCAAUUCUCCUGCCUCAGCCUCCUCCUGAGUAGCUGGGAUUACAGGCAUGCAUCACCACACCCAGGUAAUUUUUGUAUUUUUAGUAGAGACUGGGUUUCACCAUGUUGGCCAGGCUGGUCUGAAACUCCUGACCUCAUUAUCCAUUUGCCUUGGCCUCCCAAAGUGCUGAGAUUAUAGGCGUGAGCCACCGUGCCCAGCUGACAAAUAACAUCUUAAUAUUACCGUGAACCUAGUGUAGACUUUAUGGAUACUUCAAAAGGACCGCACUUUGGAAACCACAGAGUUAAACAAUAUCAAGUCUCAUUGGCUUCAUGCAAUAAAAAUGUACUCCAAUGAAGACUGGCCAGCUUCCCAUGGAGAGCUGGCUUUUUCCAUCAUGCUGUAAAUUAUACCAUCUGGAAUGCGUGGUUUCCAAGUUUACUGAGAGAGAGAAGGGGGCUGGUGAAUCAGGUGGGAUGCUUUUAAGGGUAGGGCCUGAGCCAGGCACACUGGCUCAUGCCUAUAUGACAUCAGCUAUUAGGGAGGCUGAGGUGGGAGGAUUGUUUGAGCACAGGAGGUUGAGGCUGCAGUGAGUCAUGAUCACAGCACUGCACUCCAGCCUGGGUGACAGAACAAGACUCAGACCUUUAAAUAAAAAAAAGACUAGGGCCUAGAGGUGGGGCAUGUCACUGGAAAUGUCAUCUUCCUGUGUGUCCAGGAAGAGAAUUGGGUGUGGUGAACACUUAGCAUCUGCUCCACCCCUGGGGUGAUCGUGGCGCUCACAUGAUCCUGUGACCGGAAGCCUCCACAGGGUCACUUCAUGAACAUUUCUCAUGUUUCUGCAGCAUUUUCAAACAGUUGCCCUGUUAGUGACAGCAGUUAUAACAGGUGACUUUGACUUCGAGCAUUUGUCCCAUUCAAAUUAAUUUUUCUAUUUUAAUUAUAAAAGUAAUACAUGUUCACACACACAAAGCAUCAUUUCAAUGAUCAGAAGGACAAAAGAGAAAGAUAAACAUUACACCCCAUGGAACCUCCUUGAACUGUGUCACCACCCGCGAGAAGCAUAGUGAAUUCUCUCAAAAAGUUUCUUUGCAUCUCUAAGCUUACAUCUACAUCUAUUUUUUGGAAUGCAGUUGGGGUCAUAUUAUGCAUACUGUUCUAUAAAUCCGGAAGGAGGGGCAUUAAGUAGACAAGAUGAUAUGCAGAAGCAGAUGGAAGGUAGAAAAACUCCUCUGCAUGAAUUCAGGGCUCCCUCUGGCUGAAAGAAGAAAAAGAAGAGCGUGGCUGGGGAUGUGGCCGUAGAGCAAUGACAGUCAGGCCUAGCCUCCCAGCAGCACGCAGGAGAGGCAGCCAGACCCCCAGAUGGACUGCCCAGUCCUCACAGGCAGAUAGGGUGUGGACAGCCUCACAAAAAUGCCUGGGUCCCCAGCACUGCAGAGUCUUCAGCAAGUUGCUGGGCCUAGAGUCGUGACGACUAGGCAUGGUGGCCUUCUCAGUGGUCAUCUGUGAGGACACAUAACCAUGGACUAAUUCCCCUCCUACCCUCUGCGUGGCAUAACCCUGAACAGAGAACAAACACAAGAACAAACCUAGUGCCAGGAGUGGAACCCUGCCUGUUUUUGUAUAACCCACAAGUCAAGAAUGGUUCCUUCCUUCCUUCCUUCCUUCCUUUCUUCCUUCCUUCCUUCCUUCCUUCUCUUUCUUUCUUUUCUUUCUUUCAGAGGGUGUCUUGUUCUGUCGCCCAGGCUGGAGUGCAGUGGUGUGAUCUUGGCUCACUGCAACCUCCGCCUCCUGGGUUCAAGCGAUUCUCCUGCCUCAGUCUCCCAAGUAGCUGGGAUUACAGGCAUCUGCCACCACACCUGGCUAAUUUUUGUAUUUUAGUAGAGACAGGGUUUCACUAUGUAGGUCAAGCUGGUCUUGAACUCCUGACCUCAAAUGAUCCAUCCGCCUCGGUCUCCCAAAGUGCUGGGAUUACAGGCGUGAGCCACUGUGCCCGGCCUUAUUGAUUGAUUGAUUGAGACAGGGUUUCAUUCUGUCAUGCAGGCUGAGUGCAGUAGUGGGAUCACAGCUCACUGCAGCCUCAACCUCCUGGGCUCAAGGGAUCCUCCAGCCUCAGCCUCCCAAGGAUUUUUUUUUUUUUUUGAGUCGGAGUCUUGCACUCUCGCCCAGGCUGGAGUGCAGUGGCGCAAUCUGGGCUCACUGCAAGCUCCGGCUCCAGGGUUCAAGCCAUUCUCCUGCCUCAGCCUCCUGAGCAGCUGGGACUAUAGGCGCCCGCUACCAUGCCCGGCUAAUUUUUUGUAUUUUUAGUAGAGACAGGGUUUCACUGUGUUAGCCAGGAUGGUCUCAAUCUCUUGAUCUUGCGAUCCGCCUGCUCGGCCUCCCAAAGUACUGGGAUUACAGUCAUGAGCCACCAUGCCUGGCAUUUUUUUUUUUAAACCAACUAAGAAGCACUGAAGUUUUUCUAAAGUUUUUACAUUUCUCUCCUUCUCCCUCCAUCUCUCUUUUUCUCUCUCUCUCUCUCUUUUUCCAAGAUAUGGUCUCCCUCUGUUGUCCAGGCUGGAGUGCAGUGAGCUCCUGGCCUCAAAUGAUCCUCCUGCCUCAGCCUCCCAAAGGGUAGGGACUACAGGUGCGCACCACCACACUCAGCUAAUUUAAAAUUUUUUUUGUAGAGAUAGGGUCUCCUGAUGUUGCCCAGGCUGCGUCUCCAACUCCUGGGUUUAAGUCAUCUUCUUGCCUUGGCCUCCCAAAGGGCCAGGAUUACAGGCGUGAACCACAAUGAAAAAAAAUCGAAUGGAGGCUAUUUUGUGACACAUUAAAGUUAUCUAAAAUUCUAAUUUCAGUGUGCAGACAUGGAGUUUUAUUGAAAUGUAGCCUGGUUCAUCUGUUACAUGGUGCCUGUGUCUGCCUUUGGAUCACUGCUGAGGAAGGCUUCCCAAGCCCACCCCCAGAAAGAACUGAGCUUGGCCAGGUGCAGUGGCUCAUGCCUGUAAUCCCAGCACUUUGAAAGGCUGAAGCAAGAGGAUUGCUUGAGCCCAGGAGUUCAAGAGCCUGGGCAACAUAGCAAGAUCCUGUCCUUAAAUUAAAAAAUUAAAAAAUAUAUAUAUAUACACAUAUAUAUGUAUAUAAAUCACGCCCUUGCCUGAUCCUCCCCCCAACCUUAUUCCCUUGGCAACAGACACAUGACAAAAAAAAAAAAAAAUGUAAUCCCAGCACUUUGGGAGGCCGAAGCAGGUGGAUCACCUGAGGUCAGGAGUUUGAGACCAGCCUGACCAACAUGGUGAAACCCCAUCUCUACUAAAAAUACAAAAUUAGCUGGACAUGGUGGUGUGCUCCUGUAAUCCCAGCUACUCAGGAGGCUGAGGCAGGAGAAUCACUUGAAUCCAGGAGGCAGAGUUUGCAGUGAGCCGAAAUCGUGUUAUUGUACUCCAGUUUGGGCAACAAGAGCGAAACUCCAUGUCAAAAAAAAAAAAAAGGCCAGGUGCAGUGGCUCACACCUGUAAUCCCAGCACUUUGGGAGGCCGAGGCAGGCAGAUCAUAAGGUCAGGAGAUUGAGACCAUCCUGGCUAACACGGUGAAACCCCAUCUCUACUAAAAAUACAAAAAGUUAGCGGGGCGUGGUAGUGUGCGCCUGUAGUCCCAGCUACUCGGGAGGCUGAGGCAGGAGGAUGGCGUGAACCCGGGAGGCAGAGCUUGCAGUGAGCUGAGUUCACACCACUGCACUCCAGCCCGGGUGACAGAGCGAGACUGUCUCAAAAAAAGAGAAAGAAAGAGAAAGAGAGAAAGAAAGAAAGAAAGAGAAAGAAAGAAAGAGAAGGAAGGAAGGAAGGAAGGAGAGAAAGAGAGAAAAUAAAGAACUGAGCUGGGUAUAAGCCACUGUCUUCAACCUUUGCAGCACUACAGGCUCCACGACAGAAGUUCUGAACUGGGACUGUUCAGACAAUGUGUCUUGUCUUACCACUGUAGAAAGGUGACAAGAGCAGGAGGACCUGGGACUUGGUGUAUUUGGGGCCUCCCUGGGUUGGCCACAGCUCUUUCCAGCUCAUUCCUCUUGUAGGCUGCCCUGAACUUGCUAACCCAGGGCCAGACUCUGGCCUAUGAUGAGGAAGCCAUCCUGUGUGCUGGCACUCACCCUGGCUGUUCCAGUUUGUACCUUGGGAGUCAGUUUUCUGACCCCCAAUGUUAUGUCCGAGCUGGAAUCUGAGGACAGGGCUGCUCAGUUGGGUUCUCAGGAGCCUGGUGAAGAUAUCAGGUCCAAUGGGGCCUAUGACCUUGAACUCCAUUUUUUCAGGGCUGUCAAUAACAGGAGGAGCAUAGGUUGUCAUUGGGUGAAGUUGCCCAAGAUGGUUGCCUAGAAGGAGUUUAGGGGGUUGGAUCCUGGGGUCCAGGCCACAGAUGGAGGCUGCAGAGAGUGGAACUUGGGAAGCCAGUGCUGGAAAGGUGGGAGACUCUGGAGAGAGGAGUGAGGGGUGCUCUAGAAAAGGUGAUGGGUUGGAGGAAUCAUAGGAAUCCCUGGGGUGUCCACAUAAGUGUCAUCUCCUGACAUGGGGAAGUGGUGGGUGGCAUUCAGACCCAGCUUCUCUGGACCCUUCCUUGACUUUGGUUCACCCUGCAAGUACGGCUGUGGGCCGGCCUGUGGCCAGGUGGUCUUAGCUGGACCACGAGGGCUGUGUGCUUUGCAGGCCCCAGUAACAGUGACAAAAUCCAUUCAGGACAUGCUGAAGGCAAUAAGGUGAUGGCUGGGCUCACAGAAAAAGAGGCGGGGGCCUUCCUGGACUAGGAAGGCUGAGUCAUCUCCUGGUGGGUAUCUCCAAGGAGUGGACCAGACCACAGGAGCCCCAAAAGACCCAAAUUCUUUGUGUUCAAUACCCAGCCUUCACAUCAACCCUGCUCCCUCCACCCCCAGGUUCCUAGUAAGCCCUAAGCAUUUGCACCAGGCUCUGGCAUGCAGUAAGUGCUCAGGACAUAUUUUAAGAUAAAGGAAUGAGCGCUGCCUCCUCACUGGGUUACAAGGGCCAGCACCUAUUUGGUGUCCCCGGAGCUGAGUGUCAGGCCGCUUAUUCCUCUGCCUCUAACAUCCCCAGCAGCCCUUCCCACUAAUUGGCUGCAGGCCUCAGCCAUCAUCUAGUACCAGAAAGACCUUGGGCUUUGGAGUUAGAAAUGGUGGGUUAGGGCAGAGAUUCUCAAAGCUCAGUCACAUCAGAGCCACCUGAAAGGUCUGUUAAAACUCUAGCAGUUGGCCGGGCGCGGUGGCUCACAUCUGUAAUCCCUGCACUUGGGGAGGCCGAGGUGGGCGGAUCACGAGGUCAGGGGUUCGAGACCAGCCUGGCUAAUAUAGUGAAAGCUUGUCUCUACUAAAAAACACAAAAAUUAGCCGGGCAUGGUGGCUCGUGCCUGUAGUCCCAGCUACUCGGGAGGCUGAGGCAGGAGAAUCGCUGGAACCUGGGAAGCGGAGGUUGCAGUGAGCCGAGAUGGAGCCACUGCACUCCAGCCUGGGCGACACAGUGAGACUCCAUUUCAAAACAAACAAACAAACAAACAAAUAAACAAACAAACUCUAGCAGCUGAGCCCUACCCCAGGAGUUUGUGAUUCAUUAUGUUGGGGCAGAGCCAGACUUAACAUCCUCCCAGGUUCCUACCUUAGGCUGAUGCUGUUGGUGUGGGCGCCACAUUUUGGGGGAUAAGUAUGCUUAGACACACGUGGAACAGACUCUUGGUGUCCACUGCUGGUAUCUGCCUCUGAUGUGUCUGGGGCUUUCUGAGCUCACUCUACAAGUUGGUCAGAAGUGCUAGGAGUUAACUCUCCCCCAACAACCCUCCAAGGGACUGAGACAGGGUUGCUGUAUAUCUACUCACCUUCCUCCUGCCUUGGGUGGAACUUCUCUGAGACAUGCAUUCUGCACUGCAGCCCAGAGUUCCCCACCCACACCCCGGGGGGACCAGGCAUCCCUGGUGGAACCCUGCUUAUGACCCACUUUAUAGUGGCUGUCUUCCCUCCCUGUAUUUUUGUACGCUUGUUCUUUGUAUCCUCUUUUAUUUCCUUAUUUAUUUUUGAGACAGGGUCUUGCUCUGUCGCCCAGACUGAGUGUAGUGGCAUGCUCACGGCUUACUGCAGUCUUUUUUUUUUGAGAUGGAGUCUUGCUCUGUCGCCCAGGCUGGAGUGCAGUGGUGCAAUCUCAGCUCACUGUAAGCUCUGCCUCCCGGGUUCAAGCCAUUCUCCUGCCUCAGCCUC
rnacentral:lncRNA from 10 species